ACCGGAUAAGACAGCUGGAUGAUAGCCGGGCUGAAGACUCUGCCUUGACUAGCUGAGAGGAGGUGCAUGGCCGUCGUCAGUUCGUACUGUGAAGCAUCCUGUUAAGUCAGGGCAACGAGCGAGACCCACGCCAACAGUUGCCAGCAUGUCCUCCGGGAUGAUGGGGACACUGUUGGGACCGCUCUGCUAAAGAGGAGGAAGGAAUGGGCAACGGUAGGUCAGCAUGCCCCGAAUUAUCCGGGCUACACGCGGGCUACAAUGGUCAGGGCAAUGGGUAUCGACACCGAGAGGUGGAGGCAAUCUCCUAAACCUGUCCUUAGUUCGGAUUGUGGGCUGCAACUCGCCCACAUGAAGCUGGAAUCCGUAGUAAUCGCGUUUCAAAAUAGCGCGGUGAAUAUGUCCCUGCUCCUU
rnacentral:rRNA from 1 species